UACGGAGGGUGCAAGCGUUGCUCGGAAUUAUUGGGCGUAAAGGGCAGGUAGGUGGUCUCAUUUGUCUGGGGUGAAAUCCUUGGGCUUAACCCAAGAAGUGCCCCGGAAACGGUGAGACUAGAGUUUUGGAGAGGGUCGUGGAAUUCCCGGUGUAGCGGUGAAAUGCGUAGAGAUCGGGAGGAACACCAGAGGCGAAAGCGGCGACCUGGACAAUGACUGACACUCAACUGCGAAAGCGUGGGGAGCAAACAGG
rnacentral:rRNA from 1 species